rnacentral:rRNA from 1 species
AUUGAACGCUGGCGGCAGGCCUAACACAUGCAAGUCGAGCGAGCGGCGGACGGGAGAGUAAUGUAUGGGGACUGCCCGAUAGAGGGGGAUAACUACAGGAAACGGUAGCUAAUACCGCAUACUAUCGGAUAACCCAUAUGGGAUUAGCUAGUAGGUGAGGUAAUGGGUCACCUAGGCGACGAUCCCUAGCUGGUCUGAGAGGAUGAUCAGCCACACUGGUACUGAGACCAGGCCCAGACUCCUCCGGAGGCAGCAGUGGGUAAUAUUGCACAAUUGGCGCAAGCCUGAUGCAUCCAUGCCGCGUGUAUGAAGAAGUCCCUAGGUUUGUUAAGUACUUUCAGUCGGGAGGCGUUACCGACAGAAGAAGCACCGGCUAACUCCGUGCCAGCCGCCGCGGUAAUAC